rnacentral:rRNA from 1 species
ACCGGGGUAAUUAAUUCAAACCUAAUUAGUAAUAUGUUAUGUCCUAAAAAUUUGAAGAAUUUGGCGGUGAUUUAAUCUACUCAGAGGAACCUGUUUUUGAAUCAAUAAACCACGAAUAAUCUUGCUCACUUUUGUAAAGUAUGUAUACCAUCAUUAUUAGGUAAUUUUUAUAGAAUAAAUUACUGAAUUUGCUAAUAAUGUUAAAUAUAUUAGAUCAAGGUGCAUCUUAUAAUUGAGUUAAAAUGGGUUACAAUAAGUUUUAUUUAUCACGGAGAUAUAGUUUAAACACUAGUUAUGAAGGAGGAUUUGAUUGUAAGAUAAGUUUAACACGCUUGUUAGAUAUAAGCUCUAAAUCUUGUACACACCGCCCGUCGCCCUCACAACACGUCCGCACCGCCCGUCGCCCUCAACGAGUGGGGCUACACACGUGUUUACAAUGGCGCAUACAGAGGGCGGCCAACUUGCGAGAGUGAGCGAAUCCCAAAAAAGUGG